UGAAGGGUUUUCGAGCAUGAACUGCCUUUUAAGGUCAUGCCACAGCAUCACAAUAUGAUUCAGGUCAGGACUUUGACUAGGCCACUCCAAAGUCUAUGUUUUGUUUUUCUUCAGCUAUUCAGAGGUGGACUUGCUGAUGUGCUUUGGAUCAUUGUCCUGUUGCAGAACCCAAGUUCGCUUCAGCUUGAGGUCAAGAACAUAUGGCCGGACAUUGUCCUUCAGGAUUAUUUGGUAGACAGCAGAAUUCAUGGUUCCAUUUAUCGCAGCAAGUCUUCCAGGUCCUGAAGCAGCAAAACAGGCCCAGACCAUCACAUUACUGUUGUUAUUAUGUUCUCUUUCUGAAAUGCAGUGUUAGUUUUAC